GUGCUUUCUCUGCAAGCACAUAUACUAAAAUUUGAAUGAUACGAAGAACAUCAGCAGGGCCCCUGCACAAAUAUGGAAUACAAAUUCAUGAAGCAUUAUGCAUUUUU
ensembl:snRNA U6 U6 spliceosomal RNA